rnacentral:tRNA from 4 species
AGGGGUAUAGUUCAGUUGGUAGAACGACGGUCUCCAAAACCGUAUGUCGAGGGUUCAAGUCCUUCUGCCCCUGCCA